GAUGAAGAACGUAGCGAAAUGCGAUAAGUAAUGUGAAUUGCAGAACUCAGUGAAUCAUCGAAUCUUUGAACGCACAUUGCGCCCCCUGGCUUUCCGGGGGGCAUGCCUGUCCGAGCGUCAUUGCUGCCCUCAAGCACGGCUUGUGUGUUGGGCCUCCGUCCUCCUCCCGGGGGACGGGCCCGAAAGGCAGCGGCGGCACCGCGUCCGGUCCUCGAGCGUAUGGGGCUUCGUCACCCGCUCUUGUAGGCCCGGCCGGCGCUUGCCGACACAUCAAUCUUUUUUCCAGGUUGACCUCGGAUCAGGUAGGGAUACCCGCUGAACUUAAGCAUAUCAAUAAGCGGAGGA
rnacentral:misc_RNA from 1 species